rnacentral:rRNA from 1 species
UGGGGAAUCUUGCGCAAUGGGCGAAAGCCUGACGCAGCCAUGCCGCGUGAAUGAUGAAGGUCUUAGGAUUGUAAAAUUCUUUCACCGGGGACGAUAAUGACGGUACCCGGAGAAGAAGCCCCGGCUAACUUCGUGCCAGCAGCCGCGGUAAUACGAAGGGGGCUAGCGUUGCUCGGAAUUACUGGGCGUAAAGGGAGCGUAGGCGGACAUUUAAGUCAGGGGUGAAAUCCCGGGGCUCAACCUCGGAAUUGCCUUUGAUACUGGGUGUCUUGAGUGUGAGAGAGGUAUGUGGAACUCCGAGUGUAGAGGUGAAAUUCGUAGAUAUUCGGAAGAACACCAGUGGCGAAGGCGACAUACUGGCUCAUUACUGACGCUGAGGCUCGAAAGCGUGGGGAGCAAACAGGAUUAGAUACCCUGGUAGUCCACGCCGUAAAACGAUGAUUGCUAGUUGUCGGGAUGCAUGCAUUUCGGUGACGCAGCUAACGCAUUAAGCAAUCCGCCUGGGGAGUACGGUCGCAAGAUUAAAACUCAAAGGAAUUGACGGGGUCAUAGCUGUUUCCUG